rnacentral:rRNA from 1 species
GCAAGUCGAACGCGAAAGUCCUUCGGGGCGAGUAGAGUGGCGGACGGGUGAGUAACGCAUGGGAAUCUGCCCUGCAGUGGGGGACAACCCGGGGAAACCCGGGCUAAUACCGCAUACGACCUGAGGGUGAAAGGGGGCUUCGGCUCUCGCUGCAGGAUGAGCCCAUGUCCGAUUAGCUAGUUGGUGAGGUAAGAGCUCACCAAGGCGACGAUCGGUAGCUGGUCUGAGAGGAUGAUC